rnacentral:rRNA from 1 species
AUUGAACGCUGGCGGCAGGCCUAACACAUGCAAGUCGAGCGGAUGAAGGGAGCUUGCUCCUGGAUUCAGCGGCGGACGGGUGAGUAAUGCCUAGGAAUCUGCCCGGUAGUGGGGGAUAACGUCCGGAAACGGGCGCUAAUACCGCAUACGUCCUGAGGGAGAAAGUGGGGGAUCUUCGGACCUCACGCUAUCAGAUGAGCCUAGGUCGGAUUAGCUAGUUGGUGGGGUAAAGGCCUACCAAGGCGACGAUCCGUAACUGGUCUGAGAGGAUGAUCAGUCACACUGGAACUGAGACACGGUCCAGACUCCUACGGGAGGCAGCAGUGGGGAAUAUUGGACAAUGGGCGAAAGCCUGAUCCAGCCAUGCCGCGUGUGUGAAGAAGGUCUUCGGAUUGUAAAGCACUUUAAGUUGGGAGGAAGGGCAGUAAGUUAAUACCUUGCUGUUUUGACGGUACCAACAGAAUAAGCACCGGCUAACUUCGUG